AUUGAACGCUGGCGGCAGGCCUAACACAUGCAAGUCGAGCGGUAGAGAGGUGCUUGCAUCUCUUGAGGAGCGGCGGACGGGUGAGUAAUGCCUAGGAAUCUGCCUGGUAGUGGGGGACAACGUUUCGAAAGGAACGCUAAUACCGCAUACGUCCUACGGGAGAAAGCAGGGGACCUUCGGGCCUUGCGCUAUCAGAUGAGCCUAGGUCGGAUUAGCUAGUAGGUGAGGUGAUGGCUCACCUAGGCGACGAUCCGUAACUGGUCUGAGAGGAUGAUCAGUCACACUGGAACUGAGACACGGUCCAGACUCCUACGGGAGGCAGCAGUGGGGAAUAUUGGACAAUGGACGAAAGCCUGAUCCAGCCAUGCCGCGUGUGUGAAGAAGGUCUUCGGAUUGUAAAGCACUUUAAGUUGGGAGGAAGGGCAGUAAGUUAAUACCUUGCUGUUUUGACGUUACCAACAGAAUAAGCACCGGCUAACUUCGUG
rnacentral:rRNA from 1 species